rfam:Nitrincola nitratireducens strain AK23 contig000001, whole genome shotgun sequence.
CCUGUUGUUCAGCCAAUAGUAGCCUAAGGAUAGUGCAUCGCUGGUAACGGCGUUGUGCGAAGCUUCCUGACAACGUAACCCCGCAUUUGUGGUGCAUUCUGACUGUGAGGUCGGAUGUAGAUUUUGCGAGCAACACGCAAAUGAGGUG